rnacentral:lncRNA from 1 species
AUUUUGUUCAAAAUGAAUAUAUAUAAUUCUGUUAUAAGAAUAAAUAGAAUUCAUCAAAUAACAUUGUUGCCAAAUUUUGUAUAAUUCAAAGGAAGAGUGUGAAUUCGAAUAUUUAAAAUUGUUUGCAUUAAAACAAUCAAAACCUAACAAAUAUUAUUUUGUUAAAUUUAGUAACACAAUUCAAAAGGUACCAUAAUGGUUAAGUUCAUCACAACCCUUGCUUGAGAUUAUGGGUUCACAUUCUCAUUGUCCCUCUCUUAUUGAAUUUUGGUAAAAAUUAUAGAAUAAAAAUAAUACAUAACAAGUCCAUUGACAAAGAUUCGAACCUAAAACUUGAAAUAUAUUAAGAUUGGUUCUCACCAAGUAAGCUAUAGGGAUGUUUGAAAAUAAAAUCAAUUACCAACAAUAUAAAGUAAAAAUUUAAUCUAUUACUAACAAAAAAAAAUCAUGGCGGAUCCAGCUAGGGCGGCCGCCAUCUGGAUCCGCCACUGCCCACAUUC